rnacentral:rRNA from 1 species
CCUACGGGAGGCUGCAGUGAGGCAUAUUGGUCCAUGGACGAGAGUCUGAACCAGCCAAGUAGCGUUAAGGAUGACUGCCCUAUGGGUUGUAAACUUCUUUUAUAUGGGAAUAAAAUGUUCCACGUGUUGGAUUUUGUAUGUACCAUAUGAAUAAGGAUCGGCUAACUCCUUGCCAGCAGCCGAUGUAAUACGGAGGAUCCGAGCGUUAUCCGGAUUUAUUGGGUUUAAAGGGCGCGUAGGUGGAUUUUUAAGUCAGUUGUGAAAGUUUGCGGCUCAACCGUAAAAUUGCAGUUGAUACUGGCGGUCUUGAGUACAGUAGAGGUGGGCGGAAGUCGUGGUGUAGCGGUGAAAUGCUUAGAUAUCACGAAGAACUCCGAUGGCGAAGGCAGCUCACUGGACUGAAACUGACACUGAGGCUCGAAAGUGUGGGUAUCAAACAGGAUUAGAUACCCGGGUAGUC